AACGAACGCUGGCGGCAUGCCUAACACAUGCAAGUCGAACGAUUGCCUUCGGGUGAUAGUGGCGCACGGGUGCGUAACGCGGGGGCAUCUGCCCAUAGGUUCGGAAUAACAGCUGGAAACGGCCGCUAAUACCGGAAGAUAUCGCGAGAUCAAAGAUUUAUCGCCUGUGGAUGAGCCCGCGUUGGAUUAGGUAGUUGGUGGGGUAAAGGCCUACCAAGGCGACGAUCCAUAGCUGGUCUGAGAGGAUGAUCAGCCACACUGGGACUGAGACACGGCCCAGACUCCUACGGGAGGCAGCAGUGGGGAAUAUUGGACAAUGGGCGCAAGCCUGAUCCAGCAAUGCCGCGUGAGUGAUGAAGGCCCUAGGGUUGUAAAGCUCUUUUACCCGGGAAGAUAAUGACUGUACCGGGAGAAUAAGCCCCGGCUAACUCCGUG
rnacentral:rRNA from 1 species